UUAUGAUGUCACUGAGAACUGCCAUCUCCUACCUGCUAAACAGCUUUCCUUACACUUACCAGAUUCGAGGGUGUCAUUUCCAGGAACCUUAUCAAGUAGUGAAGUCCAGAUGAUUCUGAGAAGAUCGCAGCGCAUGAUUCCCAUGUGUGGAAGGCUCAGAUCAAGGCUAUUUCUUCAGAGAAACCACUCAAUCCCUAUUCAAGACUCACUGAACUUUCCCAUGGACCAGAUUUGAGGGUGCCCUUUCCAAGAGUGUCUCCUGUGACAUACUGGAAAACUUUACAUACUAUAUAUCUCUAAAGCUAGAGACUUCUCUUUGCUUCAUUAGUACUUGCAUGCUCGGAAUAGAGAAUGUUGGUCGGGGCUUGGCAUUGGUAAAAAAGAUCUAGGAACAUGGUGUGGAGGAGAUUAUUCAGGAUAAUAAUUCCACUUCCACGUCCAUUCCUGUGACAUACAGUUCAAGCUCCUAGGUUUUUUCUGUUUCCCAAAGUCCAAUAUUUUCCCUCCAGACGUUUAAUUGAAUGAAUAUUGUAUUACAUUUUCUUAUUGUACAUUCUUUGAAAGAGGACUUUAUAUAUAUUCCUGAAUGUGUACUCAAAAAUACUGUUUUCCAAUUUUAUUUUUUGCAAUGAUAUUGUUAACAAAGUGGGCCACAUAAAGCGUGAAUAUAACAAUAUAAAUAUUGUAUACCUACUUCUAAUGAUAAUGUCCUAAAUCCUUAUUUUAUACAAAAAUUACCAGCCAUCAAUAAAGCAAAGGAGAACAUA